rnacentral:rRNA from 1 species
AUUGAACGCUAGCGGGAUGCUUUACACAUGCAAGUCGAACGAGUGGCGGACGGGUGAGUAAUAUACCGGAAGUGCCCAGUAGCGGGGGAUAACUACUGUAAACGGUAGCUAAUACCGCAUACUAUCGGAUAACCCAUAUGGGAUUAGCUAGUAGGUGAGGUAAUGGCUCACCUAGGCGACGAUCCCUAGCUGGUCUGAGAGGAUGAUGAGCCACACUGGGACGGAGACACGGCCCGGACUCCUACGGAGGAAGCAGUGGGGAAUAUUGGACAAUGGGCGCAAGCCUGAUACAGCCAUGCGGCGUGGAUGAAGAAGGCCCUAGGGUUGUAAAGGACUUUCAGUCGGGAGGCGUUACCGACAGAAGAAGCACCGGCUAACUCCGUGCCAGCAGCCGCGGUAAUUC